rnacentral:rRNA from 1 species
UACGGAGGGUGCAAGCGUUAAUCGGAAUUACUGGGCGUAAAGCGUGCGCAGGCGGUUUGUUAAGCCAGAUGUGAAAGCCCCGGGCUCAACCUGGGAACUGCGUUUGGUACUGGCAAGCUAGAGUGUGUCAGAGGAUGGUGGAAUUCCCGGUGUAGCGGUGAAAUGCGUAGAGAUCGGGAGGAACAUCAGUGGCGAAGGCGGCCAUCUGGGACAACACUGACGCUGAAGCACGAAAGCGUGGGGAGCAAACAGG